GAACCCAUAGUUGGGCAGAGGUGCCACAUGUGACCCCUCUCAGGAUGGGUGCUGCUAGAUGUAUAUGUAAGGAAUCAGCUCCAAAUGCAUCUUUGCAGACUCCGUGCAUAACCGCUUACGGUGGUAGGAUGUUUCCAAAUGCCUUGUUUGUUAUUUUUUUUCAUUUUAUUUAAACACAAACAUGAGCUUAAUUCACCUUGAAGGGUACCAUAAGAAUUCGCCAGUAUUAAUUUUCAUUUACGGGUCACAGAUGCCUUAAUCAACUUGUCCUCGAAUCUUUUUCAGUUUCUAAAGUGAGGACACAGAAAUGACAAAACCACAAAUCCCUGUUUUUUUGUAGCCAUAGUCAGUUUGUAGCAGGUAACAACUUUGACUUUUCUCCCUGUUUUCAGGUUUUCAGCCAUUGAAGGAAUCAAGGAAGGAAAAUGUGCAGGUAGAAAAGCAAGCACCUUCUUGAAGAUUGAAGGGACUGACAGUGGGAGAAUGAGAUGAAAAGAACUAGGGUAAAGCAGAAGAUAAAAGGAACAAAGAUCUAAGAAAGUGAAAAGCAAACCACACCAAAAGACAAUCUUUUUCCCUGUUCUUGUCUUCAGACUAUAAACUUCAAUAUGGAUUGGGUGACAUUUCCAGCAUCACACUGGAGGAAAGCUCAAGGGAAAACAGAGUCAAGAGGGGACUUUUGCUCACUGUGACUUCCGGACAAAUGCCAAGGUGUGCUACAGCCUUCCACAUAGUAGUGUUUACUCUCCUCCCAAUGACUAUUCAUUUACUCUUGUCUCCCAUCUUUCCUUCUGCUAAAGACCAUUCUCGAUUCCUAGCCUGUUACUUGGAAGAACAGAGCUACAGACAGCUGCCAUGGGGUCCACACGCCAUUGCCUCAUCCACACAUUACUCUUACAGGAAGACCAAAGAAGCUAUAAAAAAGCUCCCCACCAGGGUGACAGAUCUAAAAGCUGUUGGAAUCAUACCUGGCCAAAGGAAGGGGAAGAUGUUUUCCACUCCAGCAUUCCAGCUUGCAGGCUCAGAGAAGCACCUCUCCAGAGAGAUAAACCCUACAUUAAAGUCAUAGAGUAACUGUGCAUAGUUAGGAAAGAGCAGCUCAUCAGAGAGCCCAUCUUCUCACUGAAAACACUUCUCAAAUUUUCUUUCUCCUCAGACUUUUUUGCCUAUACUUUCAUCUCCUUUGUUCUGGUCAUCAAUCUGGCUGUUGGAAAAGAAUUUCUCUCAUAAAACAAUCUUGUUAGGUUCUUACAAGAUGUCACUGUAGGUAGUGUAAAUAUGAGUAAAAAGGAAGCCCAAUUCCAAAGCAUAUCAGUACAUACACCCACAUUAGUAUUUUAAUGAACAUUGCAGGCAGACUGGCAAGUUGGAGAGCUGUGAGGUUUUGAAGAAUAACAGUAACUUCUAUUUUGUUCUUGGAACAGAACUACUGUCCUACAGUAUUUCUCAAUUCAUUAAAUCUAGCAGUAAAUGUAAAGUCUCAAACACAGACACUCUAUACUCUUGGGCCCCUUUCUGCUGCCUUUGAAACAAAUGGUCAUGUUGCCAUUGAUUUUGAAAGGUGCUAACAGCUGGCCCUUUCUCUGAAAGUUCAGUUACUUAUGGAAGUGCUCUCUGGGUAGGUGUUCGGAGCUAGAAAGGGGAAAAUAAUUUCCUAGCAGUAAACUAGUAAGCAGAGCCAAAAGGCUGCAGUCAGAACCUUUGCCACAGCUGUCUUUCCGUUACUGGAGCUCUCCCUCCACCAGACUGGUGGUGAUUCCACAAGCCACCUAGACAAGUACCAAGAAGGAGCACAUUUUAGAUCUGUUAUGCUGUGCUCAAACUACUGUUUUGUUAGGAAGAUUCUGAUAGGUUUCCAGAUAUCCACUCUCCUUGCGGAAUUCUUAUUCUUAUUCUUGUUUGCCUGGACUGUUCCUUUCCUUCAAAAAUGAUGCUCUGAUAGUGUCAUCAAUUAUAACAAAUGACAAUUUUUAAUUCUUUGCCCUGCUGCCAAGUUCUUCAUUUACUAUUACUAACUACUUCCUAUGACAGCCUCUGUCAUAUUCUCCCUCUCUUUCCUAAAGUGGCUUGGCACUUUGACACAUUUUAAGCAUCUGUUUAAUCCCCCUCCUUUUCCCAUCCCAUUCCCAUGCAUGAAAACACUUCAUCACAUUUUUAAAUAACUAAUGCUUCAAUAUUACUAUUCUGCUAUCUGCUGAGGAAAAGAAGAAAGGAAAAGGUUAAGUAAAUGUGUUUCAGAGACAGCAGUUUUACAGAUGACUGCAUUUAUUUAUUACUAAAAUAUAUUUUAAGAUGUUGUGCCAGUGAAAUGAAGCUAUAACUUGAUAAAUGCUUAGUUCUAAGAGACAACACUUUCUUUAGCUAUGAAAAAUUCUGUUGAUAGUUCAAGGCCAUUAAAGAAAGAAAAGACUUACAAAGAAGGGAAGAGAUGAGUGUUCAACUACCAGCUAUUGAAAUGCACCCAGAUAUUCUCAGACAAAUCUGAGACAGUCAUGUUUCAGGCUGGAGCAAAAGUCAGGACAAGAGACUUCAUAGGCAUUUGUUGAGACCCUGACCACAGCCAGAGGAAUAACUGUAGAAAUGACUCUUGCAGUAUGAAUGAAAAGUCUGAAACUCAUCAUGAUAAACCAACUCUGGUAUGUUUUCAUAUGAAACCAAUACUGUAUAAAGCCCACUGUUCCCACAGUUCUGUCCGUUUGAAUGUUUCAGUACGUUUCCUACCAUUAUAAGAGAGCUGCACUGACUUUUGCUUUGGCUGGUUUAAAUAAGAUCAUAACGAUCCCUGAUAACUACAGAUUUAACUGCCUCCAAGUCAAAGAUUAGCAUAAUUAUAAAACUAAUAAAAGCGUAAUUUGUUAUCCAGUCUAUUUGGAAGGGUAAUUCAAUCCAUUAUAACUGGACUCUUACAUUGGUCAGGCACUAAUAAGAAACUAGAUUACAUUUAUGAGAUACGUUUACACAGUUUUUGCUACAACUUUAUGAAAAAUGCAGUAUUGAUUAGACACAUCAAUGAAGUGAAUGGAAAUUUGAUCAAUAGUUUCACCAUGAAAAACAACGUCUCAAAAACUAUUUUGAGAAAAGAUUUAGAAGUCAAACCUCACACUCCAAGAACCAUUCAAAACUCACA